AUGCGGUUACUAAUUCAUGAUCUGGAUGUACAAAAUGAAAUCUUCAUUCUGGAUUCUACGAUAUUAUUUUUCAAAGUGUUUCAUUUGCUUCUCUUCAAUAGAAGUUUCAUUUUCUCAGAAUGUAUCCUAAUGUUUGGUCUAAUUCUUCUUUUGAUGAUCGAUUUAACCUCCGGUAAAAAAGAUAGACCUUGGUUCUAUUUCAUCUCUUCAACAAGUUUAGUAAUAAGUUGAAUAGCCUUAUUGUUCCGACAAAGAGAAGAACCUAUAAUUAGCUUUUUGGGAAAUUUCCAAACGAACAGUUUCAACGAAAUCUUUCUAUUUCUCAUUUUAUUAUGUUCAAGUUUAUGUAUUCCUUUGUCCGUAGAGUACAUUGAAUGUACAAAAAUGGCCAUAACAGAGUUUCUGUCAUUCAUAUUAACAACUACUCUAGGGGGGAUGUUUUUAUGUGUUGCUAACAAUUUAAUAACUUCUAAAUCUUUAGCCCUAAUAUGUGUUAGUGGGGUACAUGUUCGUAUAUAA
rnacentral:rRNA from 1 species